rnacentral:rRNA from 1 species
UACGAAGGGGGCUAGCGUUGCUCGGAAUCACUGGGCGUAAAGCGCACGUAGGCGGAUCUUUAAGUCAGGGGUGAAAUCCUGGAGCUCAACUCCAGAACUGCCUUUGAUACUGGCAGUCUCGAGUGCGGGAGAGGUGAGUGGAAUUCCCAGUGUAGAGGUGAAAUUCGUAGAUAUUGGGAAGAACACCAGUGGCGAAGGCGGCUCACUGGCCCGUAACUGACGCUGAGGUGCGAAAGCGUGGGGAGCAAACAGG